rnacentral:rRNA from 1 species
GUUUCAGCAGCCGCGGUAAUACGGGGGGGGCAAGCGUUGUUCGGAAUUACUGGGCGUAAAGGGCUCGUAGGCGGCCAACUAAGUCGGACGUGAAAUCCCCAGGCUCAACUUGGGAACUGCGUCCGAUACUGAUUGGCUUGAAUCCGGGAGAGGGAUGCAGAAUUCCAGGUGUAGCGGUGAAAUGCGUAGAUAUCUGGAGGAAUACCGGUGGCGAAGGCGGCAUCCUGGACCGGCAUUGACGCUGAUGAGCGAAAGCUAGGGGAGCAAACGGGAUUAGAUACCCGCGUAGUCC